rnacentral:rRNA from 1 species
CCCUUAGAUGUUCUGGGCCGCACGCGCGCUACACUGACGGAGCCAACGAGUAUUUUCCUUGUCCGGAAGGACUGGGUAAUCUUGUGAAACUUUGUCGUGCUGGGGAUAGAGCAUUGUAAUUAUUGCUCUUCAACGAGGAAUUCCUAGUAAGCGUGAGUCAUCAGCUCGCGUUGAUUACGUCCCUGCCCUUUGUACACACCGCCCGUCGCUACUACCGAUUGAACGGUUUAGUGAGGGCCUCGGAUUGGUCUCGGCCCGCUCUUUACCGGGCGGCGCCGUUGGUCGAGAAGACGCUCGAACUUGAUCGUUUAGAGGAAGUAAAAGUCGUAACA